rnacentral:rRNA from 1 species
CCCUUAGACGUUCUGGGCCGCACGCGCGCUACACUGACCAGUGCAACAAGCAUCCGUCCUUGGCCGACAGGCUCGGGCAAUCUUUGAACGCUGGUCGUGAUGGGGAUAGACUUUUGCAAUUUUUGGUCUUCAACGAGGAAUUCCUAGUAAACGCAAGUCAUCAACUUGCAUUGAUUACGUCCCUGCCCUUUGUGCACACCGCCCGUCGCACCUACCGAUUGAAUGGUCCGGUGAAGCCUCCGGAUUGGCGCGCACCUCGGUGCCGCCGAGAAGUUGGCUAAACCUUACCAUUUAGAGGAAGGUGAAGUCGUAACA